rnacentral:rRNA from 1 species
AGAGUUUGAUCCUGGCUCAGAACGAACGCUGGCGGCAGGCCUAACACAUGCAAGUCGAGCGGGACCUUCGGGUCUAGCGGCGGACGGGUUAGUAACGCGUGGGAACGUGCCCAAAGGUACGGAAUAGCCUCGGGAAACUGAGAGUAAUACCGUAUGUGCCCCUCGGGGGAAAGAUUUAUCGCCUUUGGAUCGGCCCGCGUUGGAUUAGGUAGUUGGUGGGGUAAUGGCCUACCAAGCCGACGAUCCAUAGCUGGUUUGAGAGGAUGAUCAGCAACACUGGGACUGAGACACGGCCCAGACUCCUACGGGAGGCAGCAGUGGGGAAUCUUAGACAAUGGGGGAAACCCUGAUCUAGCCAUGCCGCGUGAGCGAUGAAGGCCUUAGGGUUGUAAAGCUCUUUCAGAUGGGAAGAUAAUGACGGUACCAUCAGAAGAAGCCCCGGCUAACUCCGUGCCAGCAGCCGCGGUAAU